UGUCUACUUUUUCUCUCUUUUAUUCCUUCUCCAUCCAUCCCACACACCUACCCACCAGACCAAACCCUCUCUUCUCUCUCCUACUCUUUUGCUCUCUAGGGUUUCUCAGAGGCCUUGUUCCAUAGCCAUUUUGGCAUUCUGUCCACCUCCCUUCUCUCUGGAUUGAGCAGAGACAGAAGCACACAUUAUAGAUAGAAAUCAAUGGAGGUGGCCGGUGUGCCAAAAGGGUUCUGCGAAUCUGUCUCUGAGAAACCUACUUGAGAGCUUCCUCAGCUCAUCAUCAAUUCCUGGAUAUGCAGCUUAAACUCUGUGCGCGCGCGCUCGUUUAUGUGACCAUAAUCUUAAUCAUGUUUCUUAUGUGUGUGUAUAUAUUGACACGCUUACACACACACACAGACUUGUCUCGAUCUUCUUACUGCUUCCAGCAACACACACACACUCACUCAGAUUUCUCAGUCGAUCUCAGACGAGUUUUCAUUUUGCAGGUUCAUAUGUAUAGUUUGAAUCAGCUGCAAGACUUUCAAGUAUGAAAAGUGGUCCAGAAUCUCUCAUGGGGUAUUAUUUUGCAGGUUAAUUCUUGGAGACUGACACAGAUAAAUCUGAUACGAUAGAAUCAAUUCGUACGCAUAUUCAAAGUGUACAUGCUACUCAAUACGGUUCCUUGUACGAUGAAAGUACUAGCUAGCUAGCAAGCUACAUCAAUGGUGGUAUAGAGCACAUCAUGUGAUGGAUCUUCUAGAAGAACCUGAGUGGACCAUGAAGAUUAUAUAUUAUGCUCAUGAAGGCAAAGUAAAUGCAGGUCAACCACUCGAUCUACGCCUUAUCGUGAAAUAUUAUCAAAGUUUUGUCUCAUCAGAAGACAUGUUAAUACUUAAUAGAUUAUUUUCUUGACAAA